GAGAGCGGGGGGGCGGAUGUAGCCAAGUGGAUCA
rnacentral:tRNA from 1 species